AGAGUUUGAUCAUGGCUCAGGACGAACGCUGACGGUGUGCUUUAGGCAUGCAAGUCGAACGAGAAAGCCCUUCGGGGUGAGUAAAGUGGCGAACGGGUGAGUAACACGUGGGCAACCUGCCCCUCGCAGGGGGACAACCGGAGGAAACUCCGGCUAAUACCCCGUACGCUUGUGGAGUCGCAUGGCUCCGCAAGGAAAGGUAGCUUCGGCCAUCCGGCGAGGGAUGAGCCCGCGGUACAUUAGCUAGUUGGUGGGGUAAGGGCCUACCAAGGCGACGAUGUAUAGCUGGUCUGAGAGGAUGAUCAGCCACACUGGGACUGAGACACGGCCCAGACUCCUACGGGAGGCAGCAGUCGGGAAUCUUGCGCAAUGGGCGAAAGCCUGACGCAGCAACACCGUGUGAGCGACGAAGGCCUUCGGGUCGUAAAGCCCUGUUGAUAGGGACGAAGGGCGAAGGGUUAAUAGCCCGGAGCUUGACGGUACCUUUCGAGGAAGCCCCGGCUAACUACGUGCCAGCAGCCGCGGUAAUACGUAGGGGGCGAGCGUUGUCCGGAAUUAUUGGGCGUAAAGAGCGUGUAGGCGGUUCGGUAAGUCUGUCGUGAAAUCCUGGGGCUCAACCCCGGGCGUGCGAUGGAUACUGCCGGGCUAGAGGGUGGUAGAGGCGAGUGGAAUUCCCGGUGUAGCGGUGAAAUGCGCAGAUAUCGGGAGGAACACCAGUAGCGAAGGCGGCUCGCUGGGCCACACCUGACGCUGAGACGCGAAAGCUAGGGGAGCGAACAGGAUUAGAUACCCUGGUAGUCC
rnacentral:rRNA from 1 species